rnacentral:rRNA from 1 species
GACGAACGCUGGCGGCGUGCCUAAUACAUGCAAGUCGAGCGAUGAUUAAAGAUAGCUUGCUAUUUUUAUGAAGAGCGGCGAACGGGUGAGUAACGCGUGGGAAAUCUGCCGAGUAGCGGGGGACAACGUUUGGAAACGAACGCUAAUACCGCAUAACAAUGAGAAUCGCAUGAUUCUUAUUUGAAAGAAGCAAUUGCUUCACUACUUGAUGAUCCCGCGUUGUAUUAGCUAGUUGGUAGUGUAAAGGACUACCAAGGCGAUGAUACAUAGCCGACCUGAGAGGGUGAUCGGCCAACCUGGGACUGAGCAACGGCCCAGACUCCUACGGGAGGCAGCAGUAGGGAAUCGUCGGCAAUGGGGGCAACCCUGACCGAGCAACGCCGCGUGAGUGAAGAAGGUUUUCGGGUCGUGAAACUCUGUUGUUAGAGAAGAACGUUAAGUAGAGUGGAAAAUUUCUUAAGUGACGGUAUCUAACCAGAAAGGGACGGCUAACUACGUGCCAGCAGCCGCCGUAA